CUCCAGCCAAAAUUUGGAUGGAUAAAUCUCCUCCUUUUGUUGAUAAGCCUAAAAAAUCAACUGUUCAUCUUUCCCCUAUUGAUUCCACAGAGACUGAUGAAUCUAGAAUCGAUUCAGAAGAUAGAAAGAAGAAACCUACUAAAAGACAUCAGCUACCUCCUCCUCCUCCGCCACCAUCACUAGCAUCAGGACCACCAUCUCGGUCUAGAACACCUCCUGCAACACCACCUAAAGAGUUUAAUAAAAAUGAUAAGCGUUCAAAAAAUCCCAGAGAACCGAGAUCUCGGACGCCUCCUCAUACUGAUGUAAGAAGGAGAAGAUCUCCCAGCCCUCAUUCUAGUAAACCAUGGUCACCACCUCCGCCACCUCCACCUCCGCCUUUAUCAUCGUCUUCAGCAUCAUUUAGGCGACGAUCUUGGAGUAAGAGUCCACCACCACCAUCUUCUGAUUCAUCUGGUUCUAAACGUCGGAGAGAUAGAUCUCCAAGCCCUUCUAGACAUGUUGAUAGAAGUAAAGAUCGUGAUCGCUCCAAGGAAUUUUCAGAUAGAGAGAAAUCACCCUCUCGAGUUAAAUAUCCUUCAACCACAUCGUCUUCUCGCAAAUCUUCGCAUACUAGGUCACCUCCAAGAGACAAGAG
rnacentral:lncRNA from 1 species